rnacentral:tRNA from 1 species
GGGAUUGUAGCUCAGUGGUAGAGCGCUUGCCUCACAUGCAUGAGACACUGAGUUCAAUUUUUCAGCACCA